rnacentral:rRNA from 1 species
GAUGAAAGCUGGCGGCGUGCCUAAUACAUGCAAGUCGAGCGAACAGACGAGGAGCUUGCUCCUCUGACGUUAGCGGCGGACGGGUGAGUAACACGUGGAUAACCUACCUAUAAGACUGGGAUAACUUCGGGAAACCGGAGCUAAUACCGGAUAAUAUAUUGAACCGCAUGGUUCAAUAGUGAAAGACGGUUUUGCUGUCACUUAUAGAUGGAUCCGCGCCGCAUUAGCUAGUUGGUAAGGUAACGGCUUACCAAGGCGACGAUGCGUAGCCGACCUGAGAGGGUGAUCGGCCACACUGGAACUGAGACACGGUCCAGACUCCUACGGGAGGCAGCAGUAGGGAAUCUUCCGCAAUGGGCGAAAGCCUGACGGAGCAACGCCGCGUGAGUGAUGAAGGUCUUCGGAUCGUAAAACUCUGUUAUUAGGGAAGAACAAAUGUGUAAGUAACUAUGCACGUCUUGACGGUACCUAAUCAGAAAGCCACGGCUAACUACGUG